rnacentral:rRNA from 1 species
UACGUAGGGACCAAGCGUUGUUCGGAUUUACUGGGCGUAAAGGGCGCGUAGGCGGCGCGGUAAGUCACUUGUGAAGUCUCUGAGCUUAACUCAGAACGGCCAAGUGAUACUGCAGUGCUAGAGUGUGGAAGGGGCAAUCGGAAUUCUUGGUGUAGCGGUGAAAUGCGUAGAUAUCAAGAGGAACACCUGAGGUGAAGACGGGUUGCUGGGCCAACACUGACGCUGAUGCGCGAAAGCCAGGGGAGCAAACGGG